UCCCUCUGGCAUUCCGUGGAGCAUGCCUGUUUGAGUGUCAUGAAUACUUCAACCCUCCGCUUUCUUAAUGAAGGGAGAGGUGUUUGGUUUCUGAGCGCUGCUGGCCUUUAAGGUCUAGCUCGUUCGUAAUGCAUUAGCAUCCGCAAUCGAACUUCGGAUUGACUUGGCGUAAUAGACUAUUCCCUGAGGAAUUCUAGUCUUCGGACUAGAGCCGGGUUGGGUUAAAGGAAGCUUCUAAUCAGAAUGUCUACAUUUUAAGAUUAGAUCUCAAAUCAGGUAGGACUACCCGCUGAACUUAAGCAUAUCAAUAAGCGGAGGAACA
rnacentral:rRNA from 1 species